CACCAACUAAAUUUGUCUAAAAGGCAACCCCUAACCUCCUUGGUGAAGGCCUGUCUUUUGUUUCAUUGUUUUGGCGCCCUAAGCACCCACAAGGGGGUGCUUGUGGGGAAAGGAUCAUGGAUGUGAUUAAAAUCCUUAUGGCUAAGCUCAGGAUUAGAAUUAGUAGUUAAACAACUGUGCAAAGAUGUUUGCAAAUCCUGAUGAGGAAGCAAAGGUAGAGAGAAAAAUGUCCAAAAUGGAACCUUCAUCAGACCCAAGAAUUCUCCUUUGUUUAAGUCCAGAGGAGGCUAAGUAGAAGCAAACACAGAGGAAGCAUUUUGUUAUCAACUCCAAGGCCCUAGAGCUGAACUCCUCAACAUGUUCCUCUCUGUGUCUUUGGCUGCUUGCUCAGUUGCUUGUUUUCUCCAACUACAAAACAUAGAGACUAAAAGGCACCACCGAUCCCAUUCACCAGAAGCCGGGAUUCAUGAGUUAAUGUCUGCAAAGCAUUUUGAGCUUGUUGGAAGAAAGGCGCUAGAUAAAUACAAAGUGUUGUUGUUAUUAUAGGGAAGAAAAAGCAACUGUUAGCUCAGGGUCUAUAAUUAGGAAGCAAAUAUAGUGUCUGGUGGCUUUGAUAAUAGGAUUUCUAUGAAGAUGUGGCAUGCAGUAAGACCGUUGACUGAAAUGUUAUAAAUGACAUGAUUUUUGCCAUCCGAGUCAAAAUCCUUAACAUUUUAGUUUUCGGUUUUGUCUUCCUGCCCCUCUUCCUGCCCCUCCCCCCACACUCUAUUUUUAGGUAAACUCUAAGAAAGCAAGUGUCAAAUUAACAGCCCUGAAAAUUAAUAAACUUAGCGUGUUUUUGGAGAAAGUAUGGUCCUGAAGGCAUCUGGACUUGCUUCUUUUUCUUUCUGAGGCCAAAUCUCGAAGACUUUAAGUUGAGCGUCAAGGUGUUCCACUGAGCGCCUUCAGAUCCUGGAUUCUUAUGCUCUCUGUUGAGUCUUCAAUUUGUAAUCCCAGGGCCCUGUUGGAGGCCUAGUCCUACAGACUGGAAGAGAAAGCUCUGGAAUUCUUUCAAGGGAAGCACAGAUCUGAGUGCAGGUCUUGGAAAAUUGAAAUGAUCGGGACCUAUGCCUCAGGCUCGCGUCAUUGCAAAGUAGCCUUUGAAGGACACUUAAAAGAUUCUCACACCGACUUAGAGCAAUCUCGGAGAAUAGCUGUGUAGCUCAACGAACCAGUGAGAGAGGCCUGAGGACUAAGGAGAAAGUGUUUGGAACGUGCUUUCGAGGUUGCCAUUGCUCAGCGCAGGGCAGGGCGUGCGCGUAGCGCGGCAAGGGGGACUAAAGGGACCGGCCGCGGCCACGAGCGGGCGGGGUGCGCGCCGGGGGCUCCCGGGAGGCGCGGUGGGAGGCGGCCUUGUCUCCAAUCGCAGCCACCAAAUUGCUGCUCCCUCCCUCCGCUCCCAGCACUGGGCUGGCCCCACGGAGGAGGCUCAUCAGCGGUCCCGGUGGGGUAGGCCCCUCAGGCAGUUCGCUGUGGUCACCUCCCAAGUUCUCCAACUCCCUGACACAUCUGCUUUCCCGAGUGACAAAUUAAAACGUCUGAAGCGGCCGGAGCCCGCUGCCGCCAGCGCACAUGGCUAACAUGUGAAGCUGUGGGAUUCCCGAGUUUUGACGCAUUCCGUUUAGGACACAGGGACAGCAGUAUUUAGCAGUUGACACAAGAGGGGUUUCUACUGCCUGCCAGGCAGCUAAAAGGCUGCAAGAAAUCUUUUGUGGGUUCCCUGAACGCUUUGAAUUCUUCUAGCCGGCCUGACAGCCCUCCACUAGCACUCUGGAAAAGACUGCAGUGUUCUUCUAACACUGGGCGAGCCUUCAUUAUGAGGGUGAAUGGGAUCCCAGGAAGACUUGAAGUGGGGGAGACGAUAAACGCCAAGAAAGCGAAUUCUGUCUAACGCCGUGCUGCAAAAAACGCAGCAGAAACACCAGCAGACAGGAUCCCACAUCCGUCCCUCAAGAUUCAAGGGGUGAAGGGAGCCGCAGGAUCUCAAGUGGAUCUUAACUCUCUCUGCCCCCCACACCUCACCCACCUCUCCCCUCCCCAGCUCCCUUCUGCCCCUGCAGGGUUUGUGUUCAACAUCAAAUUAAGUGUUCAUGACAGCUAACCACAAGUUAUUAAAUGUGAUUCACUGCCACAUUGCUGGGCCUUCACUGGUGGUGCAGAAUAACCACUUAGACAAACCAUUUGAUUCAUGGCAUUGAUACAAAGACUCUUUCAGAAGAGAGAGGCCUUCUCAGGCCUUUAGCUGAAAAUUGUUUUAUUUCCGUUAUUCUCUUAAACAGGUCAGUGAGCUGAAUUAAACCCCAAAUCCUUUCUAACUGCUUAGCUGUGAAGUCUUUAAGAUAUUACAGAGCUUGUGAGAAGUGGCUGCAGAUUGCCAAGUCAGCGGAAAUUUAAGAAAUCAGUGUCAAAAACGAACUUGUGUUUGACAAGUAAGACAAACGAUCUGCAGCCAGUACGAAGGGUGGCAAUCUUCUAAUGUUUAAUGCUCUUAAUAAUUAGGUUUCCUAUCAUAGAAAGGCAUUAUUAUUUUUGAAUAACUCCCUGCUGUGAGAGAGAGUUGAUGAAAUAGUGAUUGUUGCUUUUCUUGCGUUUAAAUUUCUCCUGGUUCAUGCUUGGAGACAGUGAAGAAUGAAAGACAAAUGAUCUUUCAACCAUCAGACACUCGGUUUCCUUUCUUUUCUUUUCUUUCUUUCCUUCUUUCUUUCUUUCUUUCUUUUCUUUUUUCUUUCUUUUGCCUUCCUUCCUUCCUUCCUUCCUUCCUUCCUUCCUUCCUUCCUUCUUUCUCUCUUCCCUAAUUCAUUUUUUUUUGUUUGUUUGUUUUUGAGUCAUGGUCUCACUCUGUUGCCCAGGCUGGAGUCCAGUGGCAAGAUCAUGGCUCACUGCAGCCUGGACCUCUCUACUGUUUUUCUAUUCAAUCAUUCCAAGCCCUGGUGUAAUGUUGGCUUGUUGUGAGUGUCGCUGCCCUCUCCUGGGUGGAGUAUGACAUUUACUGCGGUGUUAGGUUUUGCCUGUGCUAAGCCAAUGGGAUUUAAGGAUUUAGAAGGUCCUGAAACAGGAAGCUGAAUGGUCUUUGUUCAAAAUUGGCUGGGCUCUGUGUUCUUCCUGAUGAUGCCACGGAAGAUUCCUGGAUAAAAGUACUUUGGCCUGUGCUCUCUGCAGCACACGGGUGUGGAGGCUUACCAUCUGUUUAUAAAUGGCAUCCAGAGGUGAUAGAUUGUUGAGAACAAGAAGUAAACCCUGGAUAAUGGAGGAUUUGGAUUACAAUUAAUCAGUGUUUUAAUAUAAUUUAAUAAAAGAUGUCAUGUUGCCUGCAAGAGUUAAGGUGAUCUUUACUCAGAAAGCAGUGCUAUCAUUAAUAAAAGUGAUUGAAAAACAAAG
rnacentral:lncRNA from 10 species